AUUGAACGCUGGCGGCAUGCCUUACACAUGCAAGUCGAACGGCAGCACGGGAGCAAUCCUGGUGGCGAGUGGCGAACGGGUGAGUAAAGUAUCGGAACGUGCCCAGUCGCGGGGGAUAACGUAGCGAAAGUUACGCUAAUACCGCAUACGAUCUAUGGAUGAAAGCGGGGGAUCGCAAGACCUCGCGCGAUUGGAGCGGCCGAUAUCAGAUUAGGUAGUUGGUGGGGUAAAGGCCCACCAAGCCGACGAUCUGUAGCUGGUCUGAGAGGACGACCAGCCAUACUGGGACUGAGACACGGCCCAGACUCCUACGGGAGGCAGCAGUGGGGAAUUUUGGACAAUGGGCGAAAGCCUGAUCCAGCCAUGCCGCGUGCAGGAUGAAGGCCUUCGGGUUGUAAACUGCUUUUGUACGGAACGAAAAGGACUGCCCUAAUACGGUGGUCCCAUGACGGUACCGUAAGAAUAAGCACCGGCUAACUACGUGCCAGCAGCCGCGGUAA
rnacentral:rRNA from 1 species